CCGGAACUGGAGUUACAGAUGGGAAUAAAUCACCCUGUGGGUGCUGGCCACCGAACCUGAGUCUUCUGCAAAAGCAACAGGUGCUCUUAACUAGUGAGCCAUCACUCCAGCCUGUCACGUUUUAAAAAGCUGUUCAAAGGGGUCUUCUCUCAUGUCUGUGGCCCUUUCUUUGAGCCACAGUGAGAGCACCACUUCCUGUGUGCAGAGCAAUCUCCUCAGGCCCCAAAGUCUCUGAAGACAGAGGACCCAGGCUGACUAGUUUCCUCUGUGAAUGAGAAACUGUCCUCUGACCUAAAGUAGAACUUGGCCUUGAUGUGCUCAGCAUGGAAAUUCAACAGCUCCUGGAUAAUGGCUUGCCUGGCUCCGCACUGACCCUCACGGGGAAAGCUUCAUGCCCUGAGGUCUUAGGUUCCAGUUAAAGUGAUGUCUAUCUUAUUGCAGCCCAGCCCAAUCUCCCAUCAAAGCAUCCCUGAUGAGGGAAGAGAGAGAUGGAUAAUCUUCCCAAAGCAUAUGAAUAUUUGUUUGUGGGCAAAGGAAUAAAUGGCCUAAUCAGACCCCAGGCGUGGGCCUGUUCCUACAUAAUUUCAGUCUCCUUGCUGUGGAACUCAAUGCUUUGACACUGGACACAACAGAGUUUUGUAGGGCUCUGACCCAAUGCCCACUCCUCAUGCCUACCUGGCAUACUUACUUAGCAUCCCUACUUGGCUCCCUGUCCCUGUCAGAAACCAGCACAGGCACACCUUGCCUCCCUGCUACUCCACUACCCUAUACUGUAGGGUUGCUGCGUUGGUCAUUUUCAGUGAGAGGCAGGUAGAAUGUCAUCACCUGAGACAGGCUGCCCUGAAGUUACCUCAUCUUUGUGGCUGUCAGCUGAUCUCCUUUAGAAGCUGCCUGGAGAUGAACUCAGCUGACCUAGAUGGUCUGCAUCUGGUCCCAGUGAUAAGUUUCUACCCAGGCCACUCUCUACAUUCC
rnacentral:lncRNA from 1 species